GAAUUCACUAGUGAUUCAGGCCUAACACAUGCAAGUCGAACGGUAACGGGUCCUUCGGGAUGCCGACGAGUGGCGAACGGGUGAGUAAUGCAUCGGAACGUGCCCAGUAAUGGGGGAUAGCUCGGCGAAAGCCGGAUUAAUACCGCAUACGCCCUGAGGGGGAAAGUGGGGGAUCGCAAGACCUCACGUUAUUGGAGCGGCCGAUGUCGGAUUAGCUAGUUGGUGAGGUAAAGGCUCACCAAGGCGACGAUCCGUAGCUGGUCUGAGAGGACGACCAGCCACACUGGGACUGAGACACGGCCCAGACUCCUACGGGAGGCAGCAGUGGGGAAUUUUGGACAAUGGGGGAAACCCUGAUCCAGCCAUGCCGCGUGAGUGAAGAAGGCCUUCGGGUUGUAAAGCUAUUUCGGACGGAAAGAAAUCGCGCUCUCUAACAUAGGGCGUGGAUGACGGUAC
rnacentral:rRNA from 1 species